GUCUCAGUAGCGUAGUGGCUAACGCACGAGCACGGUAUAGGCGCGAGACGCGGGUUCGAUUCCCGCCUGAGAUG
rnacentral:tRNA from 1 species